UGGGGAAUUUUCCGCAAUGGGCGAAAGCCUGACGGAGCAACGCCGCGUGGAUGAUGAAGUCUUUCGGGACGUAAAAUCCUUUCAGCAGGGACGAAGCGAGUGACGGUACCUGCAGAAGAAGCAUCGGCUAACUACGUGCCAGCAGCCGCGGUAAUACGUAGGAUGCGAGCGUUGUCCGGAAUUAUUGGGCGUAAAGAGAACGUAGGCGGUUUCCUAAGUUCGGUCUUAAAGACCGGGGCUCAACCCCGGGAAUGGAUUGAAAACUGGGAGACUCGAGGACAUCAGAGGAAAGUGGAAUUCCCAGUGUAGCGGUGAAAUGCGUAGAUAUUGGGAGGAACACCAGUGGCGAAAGCGACUUUCUGGGGUGUUUCUGACGCUGAGGUUCGAAAGCUCGGGGAGCAAACAG
rnacentral:rRNA from 1 species